UACGCAGGCGGGAAGGUAGGUCAGAUGUGAAAACCCAAGGCUUAACCAUGGGCUUGCAUCUGAAACCACUUUUCUUGAGUAUCGGAGAGGAAAGCGGAACUCCUGGUGUAGCGGUGAAAUGCGUAGAUAUCAGGAGGAACACCGGUAGCGAAGGCGGCUUUCUGGCCGAAUACUGACGCUCAUGUACGAAGGCCGGGGGAGCAAACA
rnacentral:rRNA from 1 species